rnacentral:rRNA from 1 species
UACGAAGGGGGCGAGCGUUGUUCGGAAUUACUGGGCGUAAAGCGCGCGUAGGCGGCUUUGUAAGUUAGAGGUGAAAGCCCAGGGCUUAACCCUGGAAUUGCCUUUAAGACUGCAUCGCUAGAAUCGUGGAGAGGUGAGUGGAAUUCCGAGUGUAGAGGUGAAAUUCGUAGAUAUUCGGAAGAACACCAGUGGCGAAGGCGACUCACUGGACACGUAUUGACGCUGAGGUGCGAAAGCGUGGGGAGCUAACAGG